rnacentral:rRNA from 1 species
CGGCAAUGGAGGAAACUCUGACCGAGCAACGCCGCGUGAACGAUGAAGUAUUUCGGUACGUAAAAUUCUUUUAUUAGGGAAGAAUAAAUGAUGGAAAAAUCAUUCUGACGGUACCUAAUGAAUAAGCCCCGGCUAACUAUGUGCCAGCAGCCGCGGUAAUACAUAGGGGGCAAGCGUUAUCCGGAAUUAUUGGGCGUAAAGGGUGCGUAGGCGGUUAAAUAAGUUUAUGGUCUAAGUGCAAUGCUUAACAUUGUGAUGCUAUAAAAACUGUUUAACUAGAGUAAGAUAGAGGCAAGUGGAAUUCCAUGUGUAGUGGUAAAAUGCGUAAAUAUAUGGAGGAACACCAGUAGCGAAGGCGGCUUGCUGGGUCUUUACUGACGCUGAGGCACGAAAGCGUGGGGAGCAAACAGGAUUAGAUACCCUGGUAGUCCACGCCGUAAACGAUGAGUACUAAAUGUUGGGUAAAACCAGUGUUGAAGUUAACACAUUAAGUACUCCGCCUGAGUAGUACGUACGCAAGUAUGAAACUUAAAGGAAUUGACGGGACUCCGCACAAGCGGUGGAUCAUGUUGUUUAAUUCGAAGGUACCCGAAAAACCUCACCAGGUCUUGACAUGCUUCUGCAAAGCUGUAGAAACACAGUGGAGGUUAUCAGUUGCACAGGUGGUGCAUGGUUGUCGUCAGCUCGUGUCGUGAGAUGUUGGGUUAAGUCCCGCAACGAGCGCAACCCUUAUUGUUAGUUGCCAGCACGUAAUGGUGGGGACUUUAGCAAGACUGCCAGUGAUAAAUUGGAGGAAGGUGGGGACGACGUCAAAUCAUCAUGCCCCUUAUGACCUGGGCUACAAACGUGAUACAAUGGCUGUUACAAAGGGUAGCUGAA